rnacentral:rRNA from 1 species
UACAGAGGGUGCAAGCGUUAAUCGGAAUUACUGGGCGUAAAGUGUGCGCAGGCGGCCGCGCAAGUCGAGUGUGAAAGCCCCGAGCUUAACUUGGGAAUUGCGCUCGAAACUACGUGGCUGGAGUGUGGCAGAGGAAGGUGGAAUUCCACGUGUAGCGGUGAAAUGCGUAGAGAUGUGGAGGAACACCAAUGGCGAAGGCAGCCUUCUGGGCCAACACUGACGCUCAUGCACGAAAGCGUGGGGAGCAAACAGG